rnacentral:rRNA from 15 species
UGGAUAAUAGCUGAACGCCUCUAAGUUAGAAUCCAUGCCAGAACGGGACGAUUUUCUCCAGCACGUCGUACGAGGAUACGAAUAGGCUUCGGCCCCGGACCUUAGCAGGCCAUAACUCCUCUCUCGUAGAAGUCGGGAGAGGUAAUUGGCGGAUAGCAAUUUGACAGCGCGCUGGGAUGAAUCCUUUGCAGACGACUUAGACGUGUAACCGGGUCGUGUAAGCAGUCGAGUAGCCUUGUUUUUACGAGCUGCUGAGCGUAAGCCCGUGUUA